rnacentral:lncRNA from 1 species
CUUGUGUACUAUAGGUUGAAUUACUUGCACUAGGCUAUGUUUAGGAUGAAGGAUGUCUAGUUUCAACAUCUUUGUUUCUUUUGUCCGGAGAACUGAAGGAAUGUUGGUUUAAUUCACCGCAGCAAUUUGAGAUAUGGCUCAUUAAUUUUGGUGCUGAUUAAUGGAAUGUGCUUUAGUUUGAGCUGCAUCUGUCCUUGUUUUUGAAAUGAUUUGAUGUCUUAGUAUGCAAUUUGAGCUAUGUUUUUCAAAUCAGGUUGGUUUAUGAAUUAUUUCCAUUUAUUUUCAUGAAGAUGAGUACUCUCACAUUUAGGUUCCAAAUCUUCUUUAUUGCAUAAAACUUCCUAGAAGUAGGGAUGCAAAAUUCCUCACCGAACAGAUGACGAUAUCAGCUAUUCUCCUCCCUGUCGAAUUGUGCGUAUGGAAGUAGCUCUAUAAAUGAUAUUGAAGUUUGACAUUGGUUCCCUGGUGGUUUCUGAACUUAUGCUCGUCCUUUAGUGAGGAUUGGAUGAUCUGUUUGAAAAAGUGAAACUAUCCUCUUU